rnacentral:rRNA from 1 species
ACGGAAGGCAGCAGUGGGGGAUAUUGCACAAUGGGGGAAACCCUGAUGCAGCGACGCCGCGUGAGUGAAGAAGUAUUCCGGUAUGUAAAGCUCUAUCAGCAGGGAAGAAAAUGACGGUACCUGACUAAGAAGCUCCGGCUAAAUACGUGCCAGCAGCCGCGGUAAUACGUAUGGAGCAAGCGUUAUCCGGAUUUACUGGGUGUAAAGGGAGCGUAGACGGUUUGCCAAGUCUGAUGUGAAAGGUGGGGACUCAACCCCCAAACUGCAUUGGAAACUGGUAGACUAGAGUGUCGGAGAGGUAAGUGGAAUUCCUAGUGUAGCGGUGAAAUGCGUAGAUAUUAGGAGGAACACCAGUGGCGAAGGCGGCUUACUGGACGAUAACUGACGUUGAGGCUCGAAAGCGUGGGGAGCAAACAGGAUUAGAUACCCUGGUA